GACGAACGCUGGCGGCGUGCUUAACACAUGCAAGUCGAACGGAAAGGCCCUGCUUUUGUGGGGUGCUCGAGUGGCGAACGGGUGAGUAACACGUGAGUAACCUGCCCUUGACUUUGGGAUAACUUCAGGAAACUGGGGCUAAUACCGGAUAGGAGCUCCUGCUGCAUGGUGGGGGUUGGAAAGUUUCGGCGGUUGGGGAUGGACUCGCGGCUUAUCAGCUUGUUGGUGGGGUAGUGGCUUACCAAGGCUUUGACGGGUAGCCGGCCUGAGAGGGUGACCGGCCACAUUGGGACUGAGAUACGGCCCAGACUCCUACGGGAGGCAGCAGUGGGGAAUAUUGCACAAUGGGCGGAAGCCUGAUGCAGCAACGCCGCGUGCGGGGUGACGGCCUUCGGGUUGUAAACCGCUUUCGCCUGUGACGAAGCGUGAGUGACGGUAAUGGGUAAAGAAGCACCGGCUAGCUACGUG
rnacentral:rRNA from 1 species